rnacentral:rRNA from 1 species
UACGGGGGGGGCAAGCGUUGUUCGGAAUUACUGGGCGUAAAGGGCGCGUAGGCGGCCUACUAAGUCGGACGUGAAAUCCCUCAGCUUAACUGGGGAACUGCGUCUGAUACUGGAUGGCUUGGAUCCGGGAGAGGGAUGCGGAAUUCCAGGUGUAGCGGUGAAAUGCGUAGAUAUCUGGAGGAACACCGGUGGCGAAGGCGGCAUCCUGGACCGGUAUUGACGCUGAGGAGCGAAAGCCAGGGGAGCAAACGGG